GAUGGGCAUGUACUUCCUAGACGGAGGGGUUUUGGGGAGUAGCAAGUACAUUCCUUGAGGAAAGCCCCCCUCAGAGGCUAGGUUAGUUACUUUUGGCCACUGUGACAAACCACCAUGACCCAAAAGCAACUUCUAGAAGAAAAAGUUUAUUUUGGAUCACAAUUAUAGAAGGAUCUAGAAGGAUAAGAACCCAUCAUGGUGGAGGAGGAUUGGCAGCAGGGACAGGAAGCCAAGCGAUCACAUCUUCAACCACAGCAUGAAGCAGUAAGGAUGGACUAGAAGUAGAGUGAGGUGCCCUACUCCCCAUUGACAUGCUCCCACCAGCAAGGUCUAACCUCCCAAACCUCCCCUAACAGUGCUAUCUACUGGGAACCAAGAGUUCAAAUCGGGGGCAUUUCUCAUUUGGACCACCCACAAAGACCAUGACUAUCUGCAAGACAAGCAUCAAAGGCCCCCGUUGAGUCAGAGCCUGAUGUCUGUGCCCAGGGCUUGUUGCCUGUCCAUUUCUUACAAGGUCUGAAGAUUGACAUCUGCCGCAUUCAAACAGAGAGCUGUUUAGUGGUCAAGGGGCUACAGGACAGAGCUGAAGACAUCUUCUGAGAGCGAGCAGCAGAGGACAAAGGUGCAGAAACCAAGGGGACAGGAAGGGGUGCACAGGGUGCAAGGUUGUUAUUAAGUUGAUGGAGUAUCAUCUGAUAGCCUCUUACAGUAAAAGCAAGUGGAUUUGCCAUGAAAAAUACUAUCAGCAGAAUUCUAAGUACAAUUUCCGGUGGUUUCUGAGUCCCCAGAAGCAUGUGGGUACUCAUCAGCAUGACAUAGCAGAGAAGCCAAGUCUCAGAGAGACGCAAUAAUUCACCUGUGGCCAAGUCUCAGAGAGACGCAAUAAUUCACCUGUGGUCACACAGUAAGUGCAGGAUUUGCCAUCAGGAAACCUUAGAGCCCACUCACUACCUUCCCUUGUGGGUUGUGGGUCUCAUCCGCAGGGCCACCGUGCCUGUAGAUACCAGCACCGGUGUUUUCAAUCUCCAGGCCUGCGUGGGUUAGCCAGAGACAGGGUGCCUGGUCAGGGACAACCAUGGGUGCACACCAGUAGGUGUUAACUCUGUCAGAGGCCUUGGGCUCCUACAUGGAACUUGACCACACUCCACCCUGACAUCCCUCCUCCCCCAACUCUGACCACAGUGAGACAGUGAAGGCCUGGGGUUCCCAGCCGGUGCCAGUGCUGGAUUUCACUAGGAGUUAGUGUUUCCCAGAAGCCUCCUCUGCCGACAACAGACAACCCUCUGAACAACAGCACCUGUGCACUUCGUGAGCAAACAGAUCAAAGACCCGCAAUGCUUCCGGAAGCCUAUCUGCUGAUCACGGGACUGUGAACAUCCUGAUACACUGAGGCAGCCGAGGGCAGCUGCUGGAUUCGCCAGCACAGCACAUCCAUUGUCAGAGCCAUGCUGCCCCAACCACUGUGCUCAGCCCCUGUGUUAUUUGGGGCUGGGGUCUCCUGUGUCUGAGGGCAGGCUUAGGAGAGUGGAGUCCAGUGGAGCACAGGAGUGCCUGGCCUGAUGUUAAUUAGCUCUGUGAUCAUGGACCUGUCAUUCCACCUCUAUUAACUGCCAUUUUGUCUGAAACUGGUAGAAAUAAUAGCUAUUUCAUAUAUACCAUAAAGCCCACACC